GCCCUACGGGUGGCAGCAAUUAGGAAUCUUGCACAAUGGGGGAAACCCUGAUGCAGCGACGCCGCGUGAAUGAUGAAGUCUUUCGGGAUGUAAAGUUCUGUCCUACAGGGAAGAAGAAUGUGACGGUACCUGUAGAGAAAGCCCCGGCUAACUACGGGCCAGCAGCCGCGGUAAUACGUAGGGGGCGAGCGUUGUCCGAAUUUAUUGGGCGUAAAGCGCGUGUAGGCGGCUCUUUAAGUCAGCUGUGAAAUCCUGCGGCUCAACCGCAGAACUGCAUUUGAUACGGGAGGGCUUGAGUGUGGGAGAGGAAAGUGGAAUUCCUGGUGUAGCGGUGAAAUGCGUAGAUAUCAGGAGGAACACCCGUGGCGAAGGCGGCUUUCUGGCCCACCACUGACGCUGAGACGCGAAAGCUAGGGGAGCGAACGGGAUUAGAUACCCGAGUAGUC
rnacentral:rRNA from 1 species